rfam:TPA: Bos taurus chromosome 2, whole genome shotgun sequence.
UCCCCAGUAGUCCAGUAGUUAGGCCUUGGCACUUCCACUGCCAUGGCCUGGGUUCAGUCCCUGGUCAGGGAA